GCUGCCGCUCACACCCGCUGCCAGUGCCCAGUGCUGGUCCUGAUCUCUUGGUGCUGUCAGUGGGUGCGAGCAGCUGCUG
rnacentral:pre_miRNA from 2 species